rnacentral:rRNA from 1 species
CAGAGGCCCCAAGCGUUACUGAGAAUCACUGGGUUUAAAGGGUGCGUAGGUGGCGCGUUAAGUCCGUUGUGAAAUCCCUUGGCUCAACCAAGGAAAUGCUUCGGAUACUGGCGUGCUUGAGGCUAGUAGGGGUCACUGGAACUGACGGUGGAGCGGUGGAAUGCGUAGAUAUCGUCAGGAACGCCGAUGGUGAAGACAGGUGACUGGGCUAGUUCUGACACUGAGGCACGAAAGCGUGGGGAGCGAACGGGAUUAGAUACCCCGGUAGUCCACGCCCUAAACGAUGCAGACUAGACUGCAGCGGGUUACACCCCGUUGCGGUCGGAGCGAAAUUGUUAAGUCUGCCACCUGGGAAGUACGGUCGCAAGGCUA